rnacentral:tRNA from 1 species
GGGGCUUUGGUGUAGCUUGGUCUAGCAUUCAAGCUUAGGGAGCUUGCGACCCCAGUUCAAAUCUGGGAAGUCCCA